CAUUGGGAGAUGUGAACAAGAAGAUGAUCAGAAAGUUAAAGAACUGGGAGAUGGCAAGGUUUAAGUUCAG
rnacentral:sRNA from 1 species